GGGCCCGUGGCGCAGCCAGGAUCAGCGCGCCAGCCUCCGGAGCUGGUGGUCCCGGGUUCAAAUCCCGGCGGGCCCGCCA
rnacentral:tRNA from 1 species